GACAGAGGGUGCAAACGUUGCUCGGAAUUACUGGGCGUAAAGGGCGUGUAGGCGGGAAGGCAAGUCGGGCGUGAAAUCCCCAGGCUCAACCUGGGAACUGCACUCGAAACUGCCUUUCUUGAGUGUCGGAGAGGAAAGCGGAAUUCCUGGUGUAGAGGUGAAAUUCGUAGAUAUCAGGAGGAACACCAGUGGCGAAGGCGGCUUUCUGGACGAUAACUGACGCUGGAGACGCGAAAGCGUGGGGAGCAAACAGG
rnacentral:rRNA from 1 species